GCAGCACCACCUGCCGUUGUACCCACCUCAGCAGCCAUGCAAUCCUCAUGGCCAGCUACGAUGUGCAGACUGAUUAGAAAGACCAUCUGAGCUACAGCCUCCUUCCCCAUGGACAAUCUGAACCGCCACUGGGUCACUUUUUAGCCAUUAGGACAGGACAAAGACUCUGUGCUGUGUGUUUCAAGAAAUCCAUGGUGUUGGCCAUGUGAAGGGAUUCUUGGAGGACAUGAUCAAAAUUCAACUCCUGGAGAACCUGAAAUGUGUCCAUGCCCCACCUGGUGCUGAGCAAACUUAACAUCCAGAUACCAUCUGCAGCCCAAUUCCUCAGUUUCUCUGUUAAACAUUCUUCUACUGCCCCCCCUUCCUGUGAGGCCUCUUCCAUGCAAAAAUUCUAGAAGCAAGAAAACCAGCCUCCCAGGAUGCUCACAUCCACAACAUUUAAAAGGAUUUGAAUGUGCUCUAAAGUCUUUAACAAAAGAAGAAGAAGAAGAAGAAGAAGAAGAAGAAGAAGAAGAAGAAGAAGAAGAAGAAGAAGAAAAGAAAACAUACAAGGUUUGUAUGGAAAUAUUGUGGUGUCUGCAAGGAAGAUGGCAUGCCCUAUGUGGGAUUUGGUAUUUUCAGGAUGUGGAAGGCUCCCAAGAAUGCCAUAUUCCACUUAAAUCUUUCAUAGUGGUGAAGCCGUGGCCAAAUUGCCAAGAAAAUAGAUCCCUGGAUAAUGUCAUGACAGAUGUGUUAGUGAAAUCAGAAAGAGGAGAUAAGACUGAGUAGACAGGGAGAUGGGCCUGGGUCACUUCCUGGGCAGUGAGUACAAACAGCACCUGCAGAUAUUUGCUAAGAAACUUACAAAAAGGCUAUUUUUAAGUCAGAACCUAUGUGACUCUGGUCCUUGCCUCUGCAAGGAAGAAAAAAUCCCUGAUUGAUAUAUUCACUGGACUAAAGGCUGCAUGGACACCCCAUGGACACUGUGUGCCAUGCCCAGCAGUGGGUAGGGAGUUGACUUCCUGAAACCUCUAGAUCUAUAUAAACCCCUACACAAUAACCACACUUCAGUGUCCUACUCUGGGACCCCUCCCUCUUGAGGAACCCUGCUUUCUAUUAUUCUAAUAAAUCCUGUUGCUCUGCUCUCA